UACGGAGGAUGCAAGCGUUAUCCGGAAUGAUUGGGCGUAAAGCGUCCGCAGGUGGCAAUGUAAGUCUGCUGUCAAAGCGUCUGGCUCAACCAGAUAAAGGCAGUGGAAACUACAUAGCUAGAGUAAGGUAGGGGUAGACGGAAUUCCUGGUGUAGCGGUGAAAUGCGUAGAGAUCAGGAAGAACACCGGUGGCGAAAGCGCUCUGCUGGACCUUAACUGACACUGAGGGACGAAAGCUAGGGGAGCGAAUGGG
rnacentral:rRNA from 1 species